CGGUCCCCCCGCAACGAUUACCCGUAAACCUGGUCAGGCCCGGAAGGGAGCAGCCACAGCGGGAACAUCGAGUGCCGGGGUGUGGCUGG
rnacentral:SRP_RNA from 1 species